ensembl:lncRNA
GCCCGCCUCCCCACGGAUGGGGUACUAGGACAUGCAGACCCCUGUACCACCUGUGUAGCCCCCUAAGGCUUAGCUUGGGGACUGGAACAGAGCAAGGACUUAGAAAACAGGAACCCUCCAAUGAUUUUAGAUAACAAGCACCAGCCUCUGAUGGUAAACCAGGCUUCAUCUUGGCCUCAUCCAUGCCAGGUGACCUUGGCAAACCCACUUAACCCCUGGGACCUCAAUUUCCCCAGCUGUAAAUUGAGCUCAGCUUCUGUGGCCCUCCUUCUCUGCAUCUUGAGCCAAGCCCAAGAAUCCUGCAACCCACCUCCUUGGAAACCUCAGCACAAAAGGGAGCGAUUUAGAACUGGAGCCCUGGUCUAUGGUAUCAUGGAUCUGAGACAGCAUUCCACCCCUGUGAGAGGCAUAGGCUGCAGCUGGGGGAUUACAGAGCCGCCUCCGGAGGCCACCACCACCACCGGUGGCACCGCCAGCCCAAGAGGCCCCACUCUUGUCAGAAUAUUAACACCCUGGAUGCAUUUGUGUGUUACUCAUGAUUGCGACCACGGUUCCAAAAGGAUUAUGCAGCAUGCAUAUUUAUGAGACAAGCCCAGA